rnacentral:rRNA from 1 species
AGAGUUUGAUCCUGGCUCAGGAUGAACGCUGGCGGUCUGCUUAACACAUGCAAGUCGAACGGAAUCCUUCGGGAUUUAGUGGCGGACGGGUGAGUAACACGUAAGAACCUGCCUCUAGGACGGGGACAACAGUUGGAAACGACUGCUAAACCCGGAUGAGCCGAAAGGUAAAAGAUUUAUCGCCUAGAGAGGGGCUUGCGUCUGAUUAGCUAGUUGGUAAGGUAAAGGCUUACCAAGGCGACGAUCAGUAGCUGGUCUGAGAGGAUGAUCAGCCACACUGGGACUGAGACACGGCCCAGACUCCUACGGGAGGCAGCAGUGGGGAAUUUUCCGCAAUGGGCGAAAGCCUGACGGAGCAAGACCGCGUGGGGGAGGAAGGUUCUUGGAUUGUCAACCCCUUUUCUCAGGGAAGAACAAAAUGACGGUACCUGAGGAAAAAGCAUCGGCUAACUCCGUGCCAGCAGCCGCGGUAAUACGGGGGAUGCAAGCGUUAUCCGGAAUGAUUGGGCGUAAAGAGUCCGUAGGUAGUCAUUCAAGUCUGCUGUUAAAGAGCGAGGCUUAACCUCGUAAAGGCAGUGGAAACUGGAAGACUAGAGUGUAGUAGGGGCAGAGGGAAUUCCUGGUGUAGCGGUGAAAUGCGUAGAGAUCAGGAAGAACACCGGUGGCGAAGGCGCUCUGCUGGGCUAUAACUGACACUGAGGGACGAAAGCUAGGGGAGCGAAUGGGAUUAGAUACCCCAGUAGUCCUAGCGGUAAACGAUGGAAACUAGGUGUUGCCUGUAUCGACCCGGGCAGUGCCGAAGCUAACGCGUUAAGUUUCCCGCCUGGGGAGUACGCACGCAAGUGUGAAACUCAAAGGAAUUGACGGGGGCCCGCACAAGCGGUGGAGUAUGUGGUUUAAUUCGAUGCAACGCGAAGAACCUUACCAGGACUUGACAUCUCUGGAAUCCCGCCGAAAGGUAGGAGUGCCGAAAGGAACCAGAAGACAGGUGCUGCAUGGCUGUCGUCAGCUCGUGUCGUGAGAUGUUGGGUUAAGUCCCGCAACGAGCGCAACCCUCGUCGUUAGUUGCCAUCAUUAAGUUGGGAACUCUAGCGAGACUGCCGGUGACAAACCGGAGGAAGGUGAGGAUGACGUCAAGUCAGCAUGGCCCUUACGUCCUGGGCGACACACGUACUACAAUGCCAGGGACAGAGAGCAGCCAACCCGCGAGGGAGAGCGAAUCUCAGAAACCCUGGCACAGUUCAGAUUGAAGUUUGCAACUCAGCUUCAUGAAGGAGGAAUCGCUAGUAAUCGCAGGUCAGCAUACUGCGGUGAAUCCGUUCCCGGGCCUUGUACACACCGCCCGUCACACCAUGGAAGUGAGCCACGCCCGAAGUCAUUACUCUAACCCGCAAGGGGGGAGGGUGCCGAAGGCGGGGUUGAUGACUGGGGUGAAGUCGUAACAAGGUAGCCGUACCGGAAGGUGUGGCUG